rnacentral:rRNA from 1 species
CGACGUGGGUAACCUGCCUCAUACAGGGGGAUAACAGUUAGAAAUGACUGCUAAUACCGCAUAAGCGCACAGCAUCGCAUGAUGCAGUGUGAAAAACUCCGGUGGUAUGAGAUGGACCCGCGUCUGAUUAGCUAGUUGGUGGGGUAACGGCCUACCAAGGCGACGAUCAGUAGCCGACCUGAGAGGGUGACCGGCCACAUUGGGACUGAGACACGGCCCAA